rnacentral:tRNA from 1 species
UAUUUUAUAGUUUAAAUUAAAAUAUUAAAUUGCAAAUUUAAAGUAAUUUUUAAAAAAAAAUUAAAAUAU